UGGGGAAUCUUCCGCAAUGGGCGCAAGCCUGACGGAGCAAUGCCACGUGAGUGAAGAAGGUCCUCGGAUUGUAAAACUCUGUCCUAUUUGAAGAGAGGGUUGCAUGUAAACAAUGUGCAACUAGGACGGUAAAAUAGGAGGAAGCCCCGGCUAACUACGUGCCAGCAGCCGCGGUAAUACGUAGGGGGCAAGCGUUGUCCGGAAUCACUGGGCGUAAAGCGCACGUAGGCUGUUUGUCAAGUCAGAGGUGAAAUCCCACGGCCCAACCGUGGAACUGCCUUUGAAACUGGCAGACUUGAGUGUCGGAGAGGGUGGCGGAAUUCCAGGUGUAGGAGUGAAGUCCGUAGAUAUCUGGAGGAACACCGGUGGCGAAGGCGGCCACCUGGACGAUAACUGACGCUGAGGUGCGAAAGCGUGGGUAGCAAACA
rnacentral:rRNA from 1 species